ACUUUUUUUUUUUUUUUUUUUUUUUGGGUGGGGGCGGCCUUGGUGAUUCCCUUUCUUCUAGAGUUAGCUACUUGUUUCUAAACUAUAAGCAAUACUAUGCUAUAGCUUGGGGAUUGUUCAUUAAUUUGUCAGAUAAUUAAGGAAUAAUAAUUAGUUUAUGAAACUGGCAUGGCUACCACUGAGUCUCAUGUUCAAUUUUAGGAAAAACGUUCAAACUUCAAACUAGUGCUGUAAAAAUUUGGUUAUACUAAUUACUAGAUCUUGAGUUUUUCUCUGAGGGCCUUUUGAGAAUUUUGACUGCCAUGAAAUAGAAGAGAAGGAAAGCAACGAGGAAAAUGAUGAUGAAGCUAGCAAUAUCAAGUUUCUAAUUGGGCAGACCAAAUAAUUAGUUUUCGUUCUUAACACAAAUUUAUUUUGUCAAUUUUUUAAAUUAAUUUUUUUAUUAGUUGAAGGGUCAAAAUUGAGGUCUCACAAAUUAUCAGUCCUCGAUUCAAGUUGCAGUCUAAAUGAAAGUUUUCUAACUAUAUACUUUUAGUAACAUUUAUUCUGUCAUUUGUGAGAUAAUUUAUACUAUUAUUGUCGAGUUGCAAUUAGUUUGUUUUACUUUGUUAUAGUUUGCUUGUAAUUUUAUUAGAAGAAAAAAUUUUGGCAUUUAUUAUUUCAAGAGCAUUUAUGAAUUGGUCAAUAUUCAAUAGCUAUUUGUCUCUAGUGCACCUUCUUAAUUUGUUGAUUUAACAGUGAAAAUGUUCCCGUGUUAUUUCAUCUUUUGGAUCAUCAAGAAAGCCAGCCUAUCACGGUCUUUCCAUCUUUCAUGGUGUAAAGGAGAUAAUUAACAAUUUACCUAGCUAUUUGAUAUUUUUUGGGGGGGGGGGGGGGGGGAAUAAAAUAAACCAAGACCAAGCAAAAGGUCUGAUUUCAGCCGAUGUGAUAUCCAAGCAAAAGGUUCUUAAAUAAAGAGGACAUGGUCGGUGGAGGAUCAUUACUCAUCACCGUUAUUCAUAUUUUAUUUCCUGGGUUGUGUUACUCCAAUAAUUAAGUAUCAUCAUGGUGGUGAUUUGCACCAACUGUCGACUGAUCAAGCAUACCUUCAUUACUUUAAUCGAUUUGUCUUGUUUUUUGAGAAAAUUUUGUGAUUUAUCGAACAUAAAAUACUAUUUAAAUUUGAAUUAAGUAAUUAGUGAAUCAUGCUUGAACGAGCUUUUAUCAAGUUCAAUUCAAUUCGAAUAUCUAAUAGAUUGGUUCAUGUUUUAGUCUAAAAAUAAGUUAAAAAAAACGAAAGUAUACAGGAAAACUAAUGAAGGGGUGUUGUGUAUUAGAAAACAGCCUAUGAUUCUGUGAUUUGUGGUCGUGUUGCCCCUAUAAGUGCCCUAUACCUCUUAAAAACCCCACCAAAAUUUUCCAAUCGCGGAACUUACUUCACCUUGUAAAACUAUAAUUGAGUAGCUUUUUAUUUACUUAGUAUUUAGUACUAAAUCAUAGGAGUCUAGAUAAGGUUGUCAACGGAUCGGGUUUGGAUCCACACUCGGCCCAGAUCCAGUAAUUUAUUCUGCGUAUGGGUUGAGAAAUAAUUUCGGCACUCAAACUCGGACCCGUACCCGUUUACGCUAACAAAGAAGCAGGUCAGAUACGGAAUAUAGGAUUUCGACCCGUAUCCGACCCAGACUUGAACAAUACAUUAAUAAUUAUAAAAUAUAAAUAUUUCUAAAUACAUUCUUUUACUAAAUUAACAAAAAAUAUUAUUUUACCAAAUUAAUCAAAUUACCCGUAUCCCAGAUGAAGCAUCUAAGAAAUUAGGAUUUGAAAGAUACAAACUUGUUUAACCAGAAAUGCAUUCAUCACAGUUGCAUAUAAGUGCUUUUUGCUAAACAUCCUGGGAUCAUGUUGGGCCUUUUUGCUAACAUGGAUAGAAGAAGAUGAAUGAUACAUAUUGGGCCUUUUUCUUUCCUGGUGACACAGGCCCGACCCGAGACCCAUCAAAUCCGGUUCCAAAAUUUUAAGCACAAGACAUGUAUGGUAUAUGGAUUGGGUCUGAGUCUAGUAUAUUAAAAUCGGUCCGGUCCAGAAUUUUUAAUUCCAACCCAAACUCAACUCGUUGACAGGCCUAAGUCUAGACAUUUAGUGGUGGAGUUAGGACCGAGUCUCAAUGAGAACAAAAUUGGAUAAGAUUGUACACUUAAAAUGAAAUUUUAAAAAAUACUUUUUUUUUUGUAUAUAUUGAUAAUUAACUGCAAUUGAGCUGAGAAUAUACAAUGAAAUUCAACAAGGGCAUUCAUGAUCAUGAGGUAACGUGAGAUUAGUUUUGAGUUUGAUUUGAUUAAUUUGCCAUUCGAACCUAGUAAUUUUAUUCAUGCUUCUAUACAACCAAUUAAUUAUUGAGGAAUUACUAUAUGUAAUUUUAACUUGUUCUAUAGGAUUGCACAUGUAUUAGGGUCAAUUUCCUCAUCAACAUUUCUUGUGCUUCGUUGUUAUGGUUUUAAUUUGAUAGUAGCUAGCUCAGUAAUUCCUUUGAGGUUAUAUGUUCCAAUACUUGACACUUUUAUUUAUUGAUAAAUUAUAUUGGAGUGCGAAUGUGGAGAUUCGAUCGAAUGGGGAACCUUUUAAGUCAAAUUCCUUCCCUACUUUACUAAAAUCAACUAAAUAAUUUAUUCAUUUAUUCAUUUUGCAAAACUCUUCAAACAAUAUAGUACAAUUUAGUGAAGUAGCGAUGCCUUUUCUAUCAGAAAUACCCUUACAUGCAUUUUUUUUUUUUGUGCACAAUGGUGCGUAUAAGAGUUGUCUGGUUUUAUGUGAACACGGUGCUUAGGCCCAAGUUGACGGACUGGAAAUUUUUUUUCCAAAAAGUGACGGAUCAAAGUAUUCAAGUGCAAGAUUUGAUUUUUUUUCCCCUAUUGUGUUCGAAUUGUGACUAGUUGGAAUAGAAUUGACUAAAUUGGCAAAAAUAUAGAAAAAAUAGUGAAGAAUCUCAAGCUUGACCCUACCAUGAUGCGUGACAAGUCAAAGACGAGCUCCAAUUUUAAGAUUCGUGGCUUAAUUUUUUUUUUAUAGAGGGGUAAUAACGUGGUAAUGUUAAAAAGUCAUAUUCGUUCAUUUUCUAUAUUCGAAGGAUGACUCUCCUAAUCUAAACAAACAAAUGGACUAAAUGAUCUAUGCGAAAUGCAAGUAUAAAUGAUAUGAUACAAACAUAUAGAGGGAAGGGAAUAAUAGUAGGGGAAAUAUCAUGCAAAUAAAAACAACCAGCACAAUUUGAUUGCAUCACUGCUCUAAUAUCAAGUUAAACUGGCACUAGAAAUGACAGUUUAAUUAUCCUUUCUCAAACAAGAUCCACCGUAAGCAAUUGGAAUCAAAUGGAUAUCAAUUUUUGGUCUGAUUGUCACACCAAGGUUCUCAGUCAUGUCAAAUUCUUCUGGCUUAAGUUCACCAGGGAGCUUCCAAUCAAAAUGGAACAACAACUGUGCAAGUGCCAACUCGAUCACUGCUUGAGAAAAUGAUAUGCCGGGACAAAUCCUUCUUCCAGCGCCAAAUGGGAUGUACUCAAAAUUAUUCCCUCUGUAAUCAAUUUCCGAAUCAAGAAAUCGCGAAGGAUUAAAUUUCUCUGCUUCAAUCCAAUAUUUGGGAUCUCUUCCGAUUGCCCAUGCAUUAACGAUUAUGUCUGCCUUGGCUGGUAUGUCAUAACCAUUGAUUUCGCAUUGCUGACCACAUUCUCUUGGCAACAAUAGUGGAGCACUUGGGUGAAGCCUCAGAGUUUCUUUAAUGAUUGCAUGCAAGUAUUUGAGCUCAUGAAGGCGUGAUUCAUCAACAUUCCCUUUGUCAUUGUAUAUACUUCUCACCUCAUGUUGUGCCCUUUUCAUAAUUUCCGGAUUUUUAAUCAUUUCACCAAUUGCCCACUCCAUGGCUGUUGAUGAAGUCUCGCUGCCAGCACUGAAAAUAUCCUGAAACAUACAGAGAGACGCAUAUCCAUGAAGUUUACAACUUCUACUUUCAAAUCUCUCGGUUAAUUGAUCAUCUGCUGCUUGACUCAAAUAAAUUGAAAGCAAUAUAUGAAUAUUUUACUCUUACGAAAAGCCAAAAAAGGGUAAACGACAGAAUGAUUUUUAUACUGAGAGGUAAAAGUCAAUGGGGUUGAACUUUUUGUCUCUUUUCGUUUGCCUGUUUGGCAUGAAUUGGGGUUUGAUUCCGGAUUUUCCUUUCAAUAGUUUGGUUAGGGCACAAACAAUUAGUUUAUCGUAAAAUGGGGCCAUUUGAGUCUUGUUAAAUCCUGUAUUAAUAGUAUAUUGUUUACUCAUAAUUGACCAUAUAGUUUUAGGAUACUCACAGGCUCGCGUUGGAUAUAGGCCUAUCCCAACAAUUUUAAAACCCUAUUUAAUAAUUUAAUUCAAUACUUAAAUUCAAUAAGUUCAGAUUUUAAUAUAUUUUGAUAACCAAACUAGAAUAUCUGAUUUCAUUAAAUAGCAAUGAAUUUUCUAAGCAAAAUUUGCUCCAAAAAAUAAGUAAUAAACUGUUCACUUAUCACUUAAUGUGAUAUAUACUCAAAUGUAUCAAAUUUAGUAUUUAACAAUUCACUAACUUAAUAAAUUUAGAUUUCAGUUUUAUUAAACGCAACCCAAGCUUACUACUUUGUGAAAUCAUUUGGUGCUGAUUAGUUUCUUUAGCAAAGUCAGAAGCCCACUUUGAUGUUUUUUUCCCCUUUCUUUUCCUUUUCUGGAUUGUUCAUUAAUUUGUCAGCUAGUUAAGGAGUAAUAAUUAGUUUACGAAACUGGCUACCACUAAGUCUCAUGUUCUAUUUUAGGAAAAACGUUCAAACUUCAAACGAGUGCUGUCAAAAUUUGGUUAUACUAAUUACUAGAUCUCAACUCAUUACAAUUCGCAAUCAACAAAAAGUAAACAAAACUAGAUGCAGUUAGUUGAGGUUAAUUGAAUCCUAAUUACAGAUUUUUUUUUUUCUGUCUGAGUUGCAAAGCUUAAAAGAAUAGUAGUGAGUUUUACUUACAAGGAUAACUGCUCUGACGUUUGUAUCAGUUAGCUGAGGUUCAAAGUCCCCACGUUUCUGAAUUUUGAGAAGAACAUCAACAAGAUCAUCCUCCUUGCCUUCUCCGCCUUCCUGUUUUGCCGACUCUUGCAUUUUCCCUUUAUGCUCAUUGAUAAUACUUUCAAGUAUUCCAUUAACUUGCCUGUGUACUUUCUCAAUCCUAAGUCUAGAUAUGCUCAUCAACUCAAGCAACUUGACUGAAGGAAACAUGUCAGCUAAACUGAACUCUGAUGACAGUUUAUUGAGUUCAUCCUGAGUUUCUUUGAAUCUUUCUGUGUCUUUGUUCCUUUUCCCAAAUGCUGCGCGGCUCGUGAUGCUGUAACUGAGAGAGGCAACGGUUCUGCUUAGAUUGAUAGUCGACCCCUUCUGAGAAGAAAUCGAUUUAAUGAGACUGAAGACUUCAUCUUCUCUAAUUGCUUUGAAAGUUUGCACGCGUUUUGGACUGAGAAGUUCCAUGGUGCAGAUUUUGCGUAAUUCUCUCCAAUAUUUUCCGUAGGGAGAAAAGAUCAAAUCAGCAUAAUUAAAAGAAAAAAUCUUGAAUAGGAGACCAUGAGAGGGUCUCGAGGCAAAGAUGAUGUCGUUUGUUUUAUAGAUCUCCUUGGCCAGUUCUGGGGAAGUGACGAUGAUGGUUGGAGUUUCACCAAUCUUUAGGUGCAUCAAUGGUCCAUAAAUAUUGGCCAAGUCUCUGAGCAAGUGAUGGAUCUGGGAACCAAAGAGUUGAUGAAUGUUUCCUAUGAUAGGCAGUGGGUUAGGCCCUGGGGGAAGCCUUAAUCUUGAGUUUUUCUCUGAGGGCCUUUUGAGAAUUUUGACUGCCAUGAAAUAGAAAAGAAGGAAGGCAAUGAGGAAAAGGACAACCUCCAUUGAAGACUGAAGCCAGAAAUGUGGAACUUGGGUGUUAUUUGCUUACUGAAGCAUAAUAUUGAUUUUUAUAGAUGCUGAUGAAGCUAUCUGCACCACGUAUUUAGUUGAGUAUUCCCUAUCUGCACCUACAAAAGCACACAAAAUAGACCCCAAAAAUUUAUAUAUAUAAAAAAAAAGAAGCAGUCAUGCGUGGUUAAAAUACUCGUGUACCCUAUCUUAAACAAUAAAAUAGAAACUCAUUUCGUUUAAAUAAUAAAAGUGAAAUUCACUCGUCAUUAGAAAAAUCCUCUGUUGAAUAAGCAUAAUUUGCCUUGGGUUAGCGUAACGUCUCUCCAAAGGCUCACAAAACCCAAAACCGCCACGAAAUAGCCCACCCCACCCACAACCCGCCCCUCCUCACUCCUCCUUACCAUUGUAGUACCAAGUUUCCAUGCCCCCAAAUCUCACCUUUCACCAACUCUCCUUCUACCCCUCUCUCUCUCUCUGUCUCACUCCAAGAAACGUCACUGUGUUUGCUGGAAAAAUUACCCCUUUUUUUCAUUUUCCAUAGCUUUCUUGGUCUAGAUUAGCAAAAGAACCUGCAUUGUAUCAGCUCAUCUCUGCAGAAAUCUUGAGAAAAUGUGGCAUCUUGCAAAAACCCAUUGUGGGAUUUUGAGUUAUGCUGGGAUUUCGUGAUCUUCUUACAGGGUUUUUGUGCCAUGGAGAAGCAAAAUAGGCUUGUCGAUAAGUCACAUUUUGGUGUGAAAAGACAAUGUGAAGGGUGAAAGUUUGAGUAUCUGGUGUCUGAACUGUGUGUAUAUGUUUGUGUGUGAUGAUGGUGGCUGCUGUUUCUGGUGGAGGAGGAGCAGCUUCAACAACUGGCCCACAAAACCCCAAAACAAUUUCUCGAGAUGAGACUCAAACUCACCAAAGAAGACCUCCACUGCUGCCUUCUGAGAAGGAUAAUAAUGGUAUUGACAACCCAAAAAGGCCUAAAUCAAGAGUUGUUUCUUCAAGGUACAUGUCCUCUUCUCCUUCCACUUCUUCAAGGUAGUAUUAUUGUCGAGUUGUAAUUAGUUUGUUUUAGUUUGCUUGUAAUUCUAUUAGAAGAAAAAAAAUUUGGCAUUUAUAAUUUCAAGAGCAUAUAUGAACUGGUCAACAUUCAAUAGCUCUUUGUCUCUAGUGCACCUCCUUAAUUUGGUGAUUUAACAAUGGAAAUGUCCACGUGUCAUUUCAUCUUUAGGACCGUCAAGAAGCCAGCCUAUUAUAUUCUUUCCAUCUUUUAUGGUGCAAAGGAGUUAAUUAACAAUUUGCCUGGAAACUUGAUAUGCGAAUUGGUGUAUCCAAGGGGAUUAAAAAACCAAGACCAAGCAAAUUACAGAUCUGAUUUCAGCGGAUGUGAUAUCCAAGCAAAAGGUUCUUAAAUAAAGAGGGCAUGGAGGGUGGAGCCGUGGAGGGUCACUCAUCACGGUUAUUCAUAUUUUAUUUCCGGGUUGUGUUUCUCCAAUAAUUUAAGUGGAUUUAACUUAGUUUAAGUGUGUUAAAGACACUAACCCAAGUGUCAUAUAGACCAGUUUAAGAGAGUUUUAGGGAGCCCACACCCCAGAAUAAGAGAGGAGUUUUGGUUAGACAUCAAAUCAAAAGAGCAAGUCAUGAGUUUUUGGGUCAUUAAGUAUUUAGUGCUAUUUAGAAUCUUUUGUGUUUUUAGUUUUAAGUGCCUUUUGAGUUUAGAAAUUAUUUUUUGGUUCUUGUAUUCUCUCCUUUGUACUUUUUUUCUUAUUAUAGUAAAUCUACUACUCCUUCACCCGUGGACACGUAGAUCAGUUUGAUCGAAUCACAUAAAUUUGAUAUUUUUCUCUGUUUGAUUUAUUUGUUCUAUUAUUGUUAUUAUUGAAUUGCCAAUAACCCCUAUUAUUCUCGUUUAUCGAUUUUCUGGGACACGACCUAACAGGUUUUGAUUUUAUUGACAAAUUCCGAUGCGUUGGCAACGUGGGUAUUAUGUAAUCUUCUAUGGGUGAGGAGAUUCCUUUCUGCAGGCAAGGCAUCUAUUGUUCUUGUUUUUUGCGAGGCAAACUCUGCUUCUGAUAAACUUGCAGCGCUUGAUUUACGUACAAUUUUUUUCUUCAGUUUUUGAGCUGCCGCUGGCUGUAAAGGCAGCUUCGUUUCUAGAUAGUUUGCAGGUACCUUUUACUAGGGCAUAUAAUGUAAAGGAGCACUGCUCCUUAUUUAUUUUUAUUUUUAUUUUAUUAUUAUUAUUUGUUGCAUUCUGAUGAGGUCAGGCCUAGCCCUACUCAUGCUUGUACCUUUCUUUGGUGUUUAAUAAAAUUUGGACUGACAUUCUACUCCAUAUAUGGGGGUUUGCUAAAAAAUAAUAAUAAUAAAACCAUACCCCAUUACUUUAAUCGAUUUGUCCUAUUUUCAAGAAAAUUUUAUGAUUUAUCGAACAUAAAAUACUAUUUAAAUUUGGCUUGACUAGUUAAUGGAUUAUACAUGAACGAAUUCUUAUCAAAUCGAACUCAAUUCGAGUAUCGAAUAGAUUAGUUCAUCUGUCGAUUCUAAAAAUAAGUGAAAAAAAAGAAAGAAUACAAGAAAACUAAUGAAGAGGUAGUGUCUAAUAGAAAAUGGCCUAUGAUUCCGUCGUUUGUGGUCGCGUCUCCCCUACAGCUACUCCAUACCUCUUUAAAACCCCACCAAAAUUUUCUAAUCGUGCGACCUCACCUUGCAAAACUCUAGAGUGUGUUUGGGUAGGAGAUUAUUUGGGAUAAUUUUUUUUAAAAAAAUACUAUAAUACUUUUUAAAUGUGAUAUAUGUGAGAUAAAAAGAUAAUGUAGCAUUUUAUUUGCUGUAUUUAGUACUGCAUCAUGGGAGUCUAGAAGCGUAGUGCCGCAUUCAACGGUGGAGUCAGGACCAAGUGUCAGUGCGAAAGGAAUUGGACAAGAUUGUAUACUUAAAAUCAAAUUUAAAAAAAUUCUUUUUUAGAUUUUUGUUCUACUUCCUAUAAUUUUUUCUUAUUCAAGUAGUAACUAAAUAUAUCUCAAUUAGUAAUAGUUUUGAAACGAUUGGACCACAGAAGGGAUAUUUCAAAGAAAGAAAUUAGUUGUUUAGAGGUGACUAGUUUUCAAAUUAUAAGAGGUUAAUAUCAAGAGAUAAGGAUACUUUUGAAAAUUGAGGGGAGACAAGAUCUAAAUUUUUACAAAAUUUUCAAGCCCAUUUUGUGACUUUUUGCAAAGUUGAUUAACCCACUCUCACAUCAAGGUGGCUUCGUACCUUCCUGACCGUGGAUCCAACUUACCCCCGCACAAAUUAGGCACGAUGAACAUUAACAAAAAUCUGAAGCAGUCUCAUUAUCCAUGCCUUCUCCUUUCACAUCUCCUGUUAAAUUGCUUCAAACUCAUAUAUCAAAUUGAGAUUUGACAAACUAGAAUUAGAAAUUUCAAAUCUGGCAAACGAAUCUGAAAAGAUUGAAAAUUGACAAUCAGUACUCUAAAGAAUUGACAAUUGACAAUUGACAAAGACUAAAGAACCAAAUGACAACGGUGACAAUCGGUACUCUAACCAGAUCUUUUUAUGGUUUUAUUGGUUUAGGAGGGCCUUUUUAUAAACUAGGAAACAAUGGCGACAAUUAAAUUAAUUCAUGCUCAAUAAUCAGAUGAUAUUUUGGGAGUAGAGAAGCGUGACAAAUGUUCAGGCCGAAAACUCUUUUUUCCUUCUUACGUAAAUUCAGGCACCAAAAUUCUUUGAUGUUCGUGUCACUCCAUUGUUUCUCUCCUCGCCUACUCUGUCUCUUUUGAGUUUUUUUCCACUGCUCAAUCUGUUUGUUCUCUCUCUCUCUAAUGCAUUUCAUCAACCUGUUUCAGUCAAGGAUAUCUUUGCAAAGAAUAUCUGUCUUCUUCAAGAAAAGGCUGGAAACUAAGAAUGGAGGCCAUAAAUCGUCAUUCUUUGAUCGGUCUAAAAGGAAAUACCACUUUUCUGCAUAAGAAACAAAAUGAGAGAUGUAACUUAUACGAUGGCAGAUGUGAUCCGAUUUACGUUUCUUUUUCUGUAAAUAAAUUGCACACAUAAAAAAAAGGAAAAACUGAGAUUAAAAGUAUCACUAACAGAACAGUAAUGUCUUAGUAAAGUUCAUGGAGUAUGCCAAACAUCACCGCAACGGAUCUUCUGUCCCACACCCUAUGCCAUUCUUACAACGGGACUUCACACUUAAGUUAUGUUAUAGGAAAAAAGAUUCUUGCAUUUUUCCCUCUUGUUGAAAAAGCAUCUAUUUUUCCACGCAUUUCUCAAAAUACGUCAAUUGAUACACGCAAGAAAUAGGCCAAUUCAGCAGCCUUUUGUUCAAUUUCUCGUGGAGUCAAAUUUUCAUCGGUACGAGUUAAGGGAAUGGUCCCCUGGCCUCGAAUUUCCAUAUAAAGGACACGGCGUGCAAAAAUACCCUCUUUAACUUCUAUUCGAAUGGACUGAAUAUCUUUUAUAAGGAAUUGGAGGAAUAUGCGACGAUUUUUUCCAGGAAAUCCUCAACGAAAAAUACACACUAUGCCUUCCUUUCUAUCGAAUCGAUCAUAAUCAUUGCCUACAUUCCAGGAAAUUGUUCACCACAAAUAGGAGCUAAUAAAGAGACCUGCGAUUCCGUAGAAAGACAUGACGAUCCCUUGUGGAAAAAAAAAAACGAUUUGUUGAGACGGAAAAAAAGAUAUCAAAUUUCCACCAAGAUAACUGGAAAUUCCAACCAAUAAGAAUCCUACUGAACCUACAAAAAGGAUAAAGGCCCAACAAAAAUUACUUAUUUUUCGAGACCCCUUUAUAAGUUUUAUCCAUAUAUGCUCUGAUUGCAAACUCAUACUUGAUCCGAUUACAUUUUAUUAGAAUUGAGAGAAUACUUCAAAUUUUUUUGACUUUACUUUUUUUGUUUCCGAAGUAACUCUCAUCAACUAGCACUAGUUUGGUUAAAUAAAUACAACAGCUUCAAAAAAGCAAUAUAUAUAUAGUAGAAAAUUAAAAAAUACAGCAAAAUUCAUAAAAAAUCUCAUUUUAUAUCAAUUUUGAUUUUUUGAGUUUGUUAAUUUUUUUGUAAUACUCAGUAAAUAGUUAUUGGAUCUUAAAGAAACAAAAAAGAACUAAAACAUGAUAUUUACGUAGGAGAAAUUGCAAUAUAAUAAAAAGUGGGACAGAAAAUGGCAUAGGGUGUAGGACAGAAGAUCCGGCUCCGUUGGCAAGCACUGUGAAGUGAGGCAGGUGCAUGGCAGAUUUUAGAGUACAGAAAGUAAUAAAGUUCAUAAAAUCUUUAUUUUAGGUACAUAAUCAAGGUAAAAUUAUAAAGUAGUAUCAUAGACGGGAUGACAAGUAUUAGCAUAAUUUAGGCAUCCCUGUAAAGCCUAGUCAUCCUUUAUUAAACAAGAACCAAGAUAAGGAAUUGGAAUCAAGUGGAGAUCAUUUUUUCUCCU
rnacentral:lncRNA from 1 species